UACAGAGGUCGCAAGCGUUGUUCGGAUUCAUUGGGCGUAAAGGGCGCGUAGGCGGCGGGGCAAGUCAGGUGUGAAAUCCCGGGGCUCAACCCCGGAACUGCACUUGAUACUGCUUCGCUAGAGUACUGGAGAGGAGACUGGAAUUUACGGUGUAGCAGUGAAAUGCGUAGAGAUCGUAAGGAAGACCAGUGGCGAAGGCGAGUCUCUGGACAGUUACUGACGCUGAGGCACGAAGGCCAGGGGAGCAAACGGG
rnacentral:rRNA from 1 species